rnacentral:rRNA from 1 species
AUUGAACGCUGGCGGCAGGCCUAACACAUGCAAGUCGAGCGAGCGGCGGGCGGGUGAGUAAUGCCUAGGAAUUGCCCAGUCGAGGGGAAUAACAGUUGGAAACGACUGCUACUCCCGCAUACGCAUGGAUUGCCCAGGUGGGAUUAGCGAGUUGGGUAGGUAAUGGCUCACCAAGGCGACGAUCCCUAGCUGGUCUGAGAGGAUGAUCAGCCACACUGGAACUGAGACACGGUCCAGACUCCUACGGGAGGCAGCAGUGGGGAAUAUUGCACAAUGGGGGAAACCCUGAUGCAGCCAUGCCGCGUGUGUGAAGAAGGCCUUCGGGUUGUAAAGCACUUUCAGCGAGGAGGCGUUACUCGCAGAAGAAGCACCGGCUAACUCCGUGCCAGCAGCCGCGGUAAUUC